GUCACAGCUUUGUAAUAAAAGGUAAAUCUUACCGUCUGUCUGUGGGUGCGUCUCUUCUCUCUGACAACUCAACAGGAACUAACUGGUUUCCUGGUCUGUCUCAGAUGAUGUAAUAUAAAGUGUGGAGCUUUCUCAGGCAGCUGAUAAGUUUUAUCUUAAAGGGUCAGGGACAGUUCAUCUGUCAUGAAGUGUGGUUUUAUGAGCUACUUCUCUAUAGUUGUGUGUGUGUGUGUGUGUGUGUGUGUGUGUGUGUGUGUCUGUGUCAUGGUUGUGCUGAUCAACCUUUAAACAUCCGCAGCAUCUCAUUAAGAAAGUGUUUGGAUCAUAGACUGUAAAUAUUACUAUUAUAUCCACAUAUACAGUCUAUGGUUUGGAUGUUAUUAAACGUAACACUAAAAUAAUCAGAAAA